rnacentral:rRNA from 1 species
CAGCCGCCACGGUAAUACGUAGGGUGCGAGCGUUAAUCGGAAUUACUGGGCGUAAAGCGUGCGCAGGCGGUUAUAUAAGACAGAUGUGAAAUCCCCGGGCUCAACCUGGGACCUGCAUUUGUGACUGUAUAGCUAGAGUACGGUAGAGGGGGAUGGAAUUCCGCGUGUAGCAGUGAAAUGCGUAGAUAUGCGGAGGAACACCGAUGGCGAAGGCAAUCCCUUGGACCUGUACUGGCGCUCAUGAACGAAGGCGUGGGGAGCAAACAGGAUUAGAUACCCCUGUAGUCCCUGUCUCUUAUAC